CACAGGGAGCCGACAGGAGGUGGGUUUGGAGAGCAGCUCUGACGCUCUCGUUCUCUCUCUGGGAUUCGGGACCCGGCGUCGCUGUGUGCCGUGCGGUACCCGGGGUGCGGGGAAGGGAGCUGAGCAGGGAAGUGUCAUUUGUACAAAUUGCCAGUUCGUGCCAGCUUGGGAGAGACCUCACAAGGGAAACCUGGAGCCUUCCCUGCUUUUCAUGUGAGCGGAUGCCCCUUUUAUUCCUGAGCAAGGAGUAAGUGGAGAAGAAAGGAGCCCCUGUCAGCCUCACGGAGACAAAUUGCUUCCUGCAGCAGAGGUGGCUCAGCGCUAACAACCACCCACUGCCAGAGGGCCGUGAGCGUGUGGAGCUCCUCAUCCUUCCACGGGACCAGGCUGGCAUGUCACUGUCACUGCAUGCCACUGCCACUGCAUGCCACCAUCCCUCCGUGCCCCGCAGCUCCAUCGGUGCGGAUGAGACGGCAGCUCAGCGGCUCUACCUGCGCCCAUGCUGGGGAGAGAAAAACCUGAUUUAAGUGGCUCACAAAUGUGUGGGUUAAAGGCGCGCUGCUGCAAAGACAACAUGUUGAGAGCUGGAGCCAGAUGGAUGUGGAUGAGCAGUGCAGUGAAAAUUAUCAACCGCAGGAACAGCGGGGGAUUCCCUGCUCCGGGGAGACGUGAAAUCAGGGACAGAUUUGCUCUCUUGCAGCAUGCCCUGGGUUGCACAGGAGUUAAUCCAGAGCAGUUGCGAUUACGGAUUGUGCACUGAGGGAUCCUAAAUGCUCCCUCUGAUCCAUGAUCCAAAACCGCAGCCCCCAGCCACACAGCCCUCUGUGAAGCCUCUUGCCAAAGACCUCCAUUUAGCGGUAAUUCCCUUUAUAGCUUAUUUUUGCCGUGUGGCUGCACACCCCAUUGUUUACCCGAGCACACAAGUCCCUGGCUCCUCUCCGUUCCAUUCUCUCUCAGCUGGCUGCCAUCGAGCUGAUUUCCCCCUCCUCCUGUGCUCUGCCACAGAGCCUAAAUCGACACAUCUGUUUUUAAAGAGAGGAGCAGUCCCAUCAUCCUCACUUCCAGCGCUGCAGCCUCCAUGGGGCUGCCCUCACUGUGUUUGUGUAGGGCCUACAGAAAAGGGGAAUGGGAAAACAACAGUGGAACAUUACAUGUUUGGGUUUUUUUUUUUCCUUUUCUUUUUUUUUUUCCUUUUUUUUUUUUUUUUUUGAGCAUCAGGUUUCCUUCAUUGCAGCAGCAGUAAGAUGUUUCCAGCUUCUUUCUGUCUUCUGAUUGCGCUGAGAGCAUCCUGCAGAGCAGAGCGUUUGCUCACAGCCACAACCAGCACUGAAGGGCUCAGAGCCAGCAGUGAGCCCGGCGCUGCUCAAGUGCAGAGCAGACUUGGCUAAGGAGGGAAUGGACUGAUAUGCCCCCAAGUGUCAGCCCUGGCUCCUCAUCACCGAGCCAUCCUUCGUCUUACGUGUAUUUUGCACUUAGGGCAAACCAACGUUUAGAUGGGAAGUGGGUCAGCAUGAAUGCUUUGCAAAAGGGAAAUGAAGACCUGGAGGGGUUUCAUCCAUCCCAUUCCAGCAGAGCUCCUGGCCAGGUCCAUCCUGCUUGAGGACAUCUUUCCCUGCCCAUUAGAUGCGUUAACGAAUCUGCAUCCACGGCACCCUGCUGGUUCAUGCCCCUUGUUGCCAUCUCCCCUUUCUCUUGCCAUUCUUUUUCCCCAUUAGAAAUUUUGCAUUUCUAGCCUGCUUGUCAUAUUUCCUACCGGAUUGGGUGUUUAAUUAAAAUCAUAAUUAAAAUUGAUCUCCUCAUUAGCAUGCACCUGCUCUACUGCUCGCGUCCUGGCAUUUAAUUAUACGCUGAAGAUGUCAAGUCUGACAGGCGAGAACGAGACCCGGCCAGUAACCCCUGACAGGACUUCUUGGUGACAACAUCUGGGCAGUGGGGACCCAUCUGCUGGCGCAGCCGGGCAGCAGGACACGGCGCUGGGAUGCUGGCAGAGCUGCCAUUGGUUUUGCUGGGGUUAUCUUGUUAUUUUAGUAGCAGAAUAGUCACCAGCACUUCCUACUGGAAGCUUCCUAAGCCAAGACCAG
ensembl:lncRNA